UUGCCUUCUCUAUCUAUCCCGUACCUGCAAACCUGGGGGUUAGGGGAGAGGGGUGAGCUAGAUGCCCAGUGAGUAGAACUAUAAAAAGAAUAUUUAAAACAUGCUAUCAUGAAAUGCGUCACUGCACAAACAAAUCACACCACGGAUGGACUGAUUCAAAAAAAUCCCUCAACUCCAUGCCCGGCCCUAUUAUGGGCACCACAGGACUUCGUAUUGCCCGGCCCUAUUAUGGGCACCACAGGACUUCGUACUCGGAAGGCUAAUGAAUCAUCCUAAUGUCCAUCCACUGUCAUCUAUCACAACAAUACAAUGCGGCAUAGUCGUGAAUUC
rnacentral:lncRNA from 1 species